ACGGGAGGCAGCAGUGAGGAAUAUUGGUCAAUGGACGGAAGUCUGAACCAGCCAAGUCGCGUGAAGGAUGAAGGUAUUAUGUAUUGUAAACUUCUUUAGCAGUGGAGUAAUAAGGGGAUCGCGAUCCCUGAUGCAAGUACACUGAGAAUAAGGAUCGGCUAACUCCGUGCCAGCAGCCGCGGUAAUACGGAGGAUCCGAGCGUUAUCCGGAUUUAUUGGGUUUAAAGGGUGCGUAGGCGGAAUGUUAAGUCAGUGGUAAAAGCGUGUGGCUCAACCAUACCAAGCCAUUGAUACUGGCGUUCUUGAGUGUAAACGAGGUAGGCGGAAUAUGACAUGUAGCGGUGAAAUGCUUAGAUAUGUCAUAGAACCCCGAUUGCGAAGGCAGCUUACCAGCAUACAACUGACGCUGAGGCACGAAAGCGUGGGUAUCAAACAGGAUUAGAUACCCUGGUA
rnacentral:rRNA from 1 species